rnacentral:rRNA from 1 species
GACGAACGCUGGCGGCGUGCCUAAUACAUGCAAGUUGAGCGAUGAAGAUUGGUGCUUGCUCCAAUUUGAAGAGCAGCGAACGGGUGAGUAACGCGUGGGGAAUCUGCCUUUGAGCGGGGGACAACAUUUGGAAACGAAUGCUAAUACCGCAUAACAACUUUAAACAUAAGUUUUAAGUUUGAAAGAUGCAAUUGCAUCACUCAAAGAUGAUCCCGCGUUGUAUUAGCUAGUUGGUGAGGUAAAGGCUCACCAAGGCGAUGAUACAUAGCCGACCUGAGAGGGUGAUCGGCCACAUUGGGACUGAGACACGGCCCAAACCCCUACGGGAGGCAGCAGUAGGGGAUCUUCGGCAAUGGACGAAAGGCUGACCGAGCAACGCCGCGUGAGGGAAGAAGGGUGUCGGAUCGGAAAAAUCUGUUGGUAGAGAAGAACGUUGGUGAGAGUGGAAAGCUCAUCAAGUGACGGUAACUACACAGAAAGGGACGGCUAACUACGUG